rnacentral:rRNA from 1 species
AUUGAACGCUGGCGGCAGGCCUAACACAUGCAAGUCGAGCGAGUGGCGGACGGGUGAGUAAUGUAUGGGGAUCUGCCCGAUGGAGGGGGAUAACUACUGGAAACGGUAGCUAAUACCGCAUACCAUCGGAUGAGCCCAUAUGGGAUUAGCUAGUAGGUGGGGUAACGGCUCACCUAGGCGACGAUCCCUAGCUGGUCUGAGAGGAUGAUCAGCCACACUGGAACUGAGACACGGCCCAGACUCCUACGGGAGGCAGCAGUGGGGAAUAUUGCACAAUGGGCGCAAGCCUGAUGCAGCCAUGCCGCGUGUAUGAAGAAGGCCUUCGGGUUGUAAAGUACUUUCAGUGGGGAGGCGUUACUGGCAGAAGAAGCACCGGCUAACUCCGUGCCAGCAGCCGCGGUAAUUC